UUUUAGUGUAAUGGAUUGU
rnacentral:miRNA from 1 species